GAUGACAUCUGAACGAUGGGAUAAAGCCAAGCUGGUAUGGGUCCUGGCUGCUAAUAACAAAAUAAUUCCCCCCAGGAUGCUGUGAUGACCUAUGUGACAGCAUCUAUGCAGAACAGAGCUGCUCUGCUAGCAGCGGGGCGGCACUGUCAUUCCAUGGGACUCAGCAUCUGGGUCCUCAUAAGGCAGGGGCUGAGAUGCCUGCCGGCUAAAGCUCCCCCCCAACUCGCAUCCACCUGGAUCUCCUCCCUUACACGGAGAUGACAAGGGCCAGAGUCCAGGCUGCCCACUCUCUUGGUUUAGAGAUGACAGUUUCUUUUAAGGAGCAUUAAUUGGCCCUUGAAAGUUCAAACUCAUAACUUGCUUCUUAAAUUGGGUGGAGGAAGGGAAGCCAAAGGUGUUAUUUUUAUAUCCGAGUGCACAGUCACAGAGCUGAAUCCUGAUUGGUAGGAUGAUGAUAGGAUGAUUUGAUUCCCCCAAAUCAUCUUUGGAAAACUGGGAAACAUACAAUAUGCUUAUCCUUGCUCAAUUACCCAAUGCCAACCCCCAGAGGCUGCUGGAACAUGGAAACUAAUCAGAUGAUUCUUGUCUCUAAGGAGCUCAUGGAAGAGGGGACAGAGCAGUACCCCAUCCUCCUGCCCUCCAUCAGUCUACCCUUGUGUGAUAUGCCCACACAGAUUUAGAUAACUUUCCAAGAAAAAUACAAAACAACUAACUGCAACGAGUUUGUUCUGUGAUCAUAAUGGUAACGAAUAAUAAUAAUGUCACCAACAGCUAACACUGAAUGCUCGCUCAAUGCUAAGCACUCUGCUGAGCACCCGCACCCCCACCCCUAUGUCCUUUGGGGUAGGAACAGGAAUGAAGAGGGAAAUCUGUUAGGUGCAGGUUAGCGAACUCUGAAUUGACCACACACCACCUGAGACCCAGAAAUCCAGCAGCGACCUGGCAGACGGAGCGAGGCUGCUUGCAGCGUGCAUGGUGAGUCAGCACCAUUCAAAAGACCCCAGGAGACGCAGGCACUUGGGCAUUCGAGACACUCAAACAUCUGCAACCUGGCCCCGAGCCAGGGCAACGGAGCAGCGGGCUUCGGAUUUGCAGAUAGGUUCAAAAUUAAAAGUGUUAUUUCCAAGAGGAUGGAAAUUGAAAGACUCUGAACAAAGAUUCAUACAUUGACCCAAAGUGCUGGCAUUUCUGUUUUAUAAAGAUGUUUGCUGUGUUUAAUAUGUAGUAAGAAUGGUCGAUGUUGAUUGAGUGCUUACUGUACCCAGGGGGCUAAGCACUCUAAAUUCCUUAACCCCUGGGCCGCCCCCAGGGCUGCAAGGGGAGGAGAUUUCUUGUAACCAUGCCCUUUUGGCCUGCUGGCACCGGACUCUGCCCCACCCCCACCGCCCCACCGAAUUCCAAGCUGCCCUUGGAUUGGCGGCGGGGGUCCUCCCCCCAAGCCUGGCUUCUCCCACCACUUGCUCCCUUAGGCGGCUCAGUUUCCCCCUGUCCUACUGCAGCAGAAGCUGCUUUCAAUUGGCAGUGGGCACAGAAGGGCGGGGGAGCAGUUGGAAAGAGAAUUCGUUCCAAGUUGAUGGGGGAUGACUGUGGCUGCUAGGCGACUUGUAUUUUAUGAGAAAUCGGGGAUGAACUGUCUACACGGAGGAGAUCGCGUCCAUUCCCCAUCCCUCUCUUUAAAGUACUGCGCUGGGUGGCUUCUCGAGUCCCAGCUGGGGGCUCAGUACCAUCCCUACCCUGCCUCUCUCCUCUCUCCUUCUCCCGACCCUGGGGUGGCACCGAGCCCCUCAGCGGAAGCCCCGCUGGCUCAGUACCUGCAGGCCCUGCGCCUGGGAUCGCCCCUCCUCUCCCUAAAUACCAUAUAGGGCUUGCCCAUUCAUCCGUUCGUUCGUUCGUUCCAUGUGCUCGGAAUGCAGCAGGGCCCCGCCCAGCGUGGGUGCUUGGUUAAUGGCUGUGGGACCAACGCUUACCCCCCCGGAACCGGGUGCUGGCGAUGGCAGCAGCCGCCGGUCCACAGGGCACAUUUUGGAUUUUGACCUUCCAGCUGCUUUAACCCAGGCGGGCCCCGCCGUUCCGCGGCCAGCGCAGACUGCACCGCCCUUCGCUCACCGGGGAGGGGGAGGCUACAGGGCGCUUUUGGAUGAGCUGGCCUCAGCACCCGCCCCCUUUCCGCCCGGGUUCGGUCCAGGGGGCCUCAAGAUGUCAUCAAGUUGAGAUGAGGUCAUUCUGGAUGAGAGUGGGCCCUAAAUCCAGUGACUGGUGUCCUUACAAGAAGAGGGAAACGUGGACCCAGACACAUGACCCACACAGGGAGAGUGCCAUGUGAGGACGGAGGUGGAGAUUGGAGUGAUGGCUCUACAAGCAAGGACGCAAAAGGUUGCCAACAGCCACCAGGAGCCGGGAGGGAGGCAUGGGGCAGUAAAGGUGAUUCUGCAAGCGGAAAUCCUGCAAAGCAAUCUUGACAAUUGUAGGGUAUUGUGAAUCCACUAGGAACCACCGAAUUUUGGUGAAUUGACGUUUUGUGAAUUUUAUCUCAAUAAAAACUGCUUUUAUUUUA